AUCUUUCUAGUAUAAACACUACAGAUGGCUUCCAACCAUCCAAUCUUGGUUAAAAUCCAAGGAAAGAUA
rnacentral:tRNA from 1 species